AAGGCGUUCCGGGAUUAUUGGGCGUAAGAGCUCGUAGGCGGUUUGUCGCGUCUGCCGUGAAAGUCCGGGGCUCAACUCCGGAUCUGCGGUGGGUACGGGCAGACUAGAGUGAUGUAGGGGAGACUGGAAUUCCUGGUGUAGCGGUGAAAUGCGCAGAUAUCAGGAGGAACACCGAUGGCGAAGGCAGGUCUCUGGGCAUUAACUGACGCUGAGGAGCGAAAGCAUGGGGAGCGAACAGGAUUAGAUACCCUGGUAGUCCAUGCCGUAAACGUUGGGCACUAGGUGUGGGGGACAUUCCACGUUUUCCGCGCCGUAGCUAACGCAUUAAGUGCCCCGCCUGGGGAGUACGGCCGCAAGGCUAAAACUCAAAGGAAUUGACGGGGGCCCGCACAAGCGGCGGAGCAUGCGGAUUAAUUCGAUGCAACGCGAAGAACCUUACCAAGGCUUGACAUGGGCCGGACCGGGCUGGAAACAGUCCUUCCCCUUUGGGGCCGGUUCACAGGUGGUGCAUGGUUGUCGUCAGCUCGUGUCGUGAGAUGUUGGGUUAAGUCCCGCAACGAGCGCAACCCUCGUUCCAUGUUGCCAGCGCGUAAUGGCGGGGACUCAUGGGAGACUGCCGGGGUCAACUCGGAGGAAGGUGGGGACGACGUCAAAUCAUCAUGCCCCUUAUGUCUUGGGCUUCACGCAUGCUACAAUGGCCGGUACAAAGGGUUGCGAUACUGUGAGGUGGAGCUAAUCCCAAAAAGCCGGUCUCAGUUCGGAUUGGGGUCUGCAACUCGACCCCAUGAAGUCGGAGUCGCUAGUAAUCGCAGAUCAGCAACGCUGCGGUGAAUACGUUCCCGGGCCUUGUACACACCGCCCGUCAAGUCACGAAAGUUGGUAACACCCGAAGCCGGUGGCCUAACCCCUUGUGGGAGGGAGCUGUCGAGGGUGGGACUGGCGAUUGGGACUAAGUCGUAACAAGGUAACCAACACUGGAUGAUCUGAAUCACUCGAUCUCUGAUCUACCUGCAUCACUGAUAAUCGUCGUAAUCUGGGACCAUCAAUGUUACUCUAUGUAUACC
rnacentral:rRNA from 1 species